GCCCGAGAAACGGCUACCACUUCCAAGGAAGGCAGCAGGCGCGCAACUUACCCUAAUCUCGAUUCGAGGAGGUAGUGACAAGAAAUACCGAUGCGGGACCCUACGGGUGCCGCGUUCGGAAUGAGUACGAUUCGAACCACCUAACGAGGAACGAUCGGAGGGCAAGUCUGGUGCCAGCAGCCGCGGUAAUUCCAGCUCCAAUAGCGUACGUUAAAGUUGCUGCAGUUAAAAAGCUCGUAGUUGAACGUCCGGGUUCCGCGGGACGGGGCCGCCCCGCGAGGGACGGCGCCGCCCUGGGGCCCGUGGGAUCCGAUCUCGCCGCCCGUCGCGAGGCGGACGGAGGGACGGAUGAGGUUACCUGGAAAAAAUCGGGGCGAUCUAGGCGGGCGAACCUCGCCAACGAACGAUAGGACAUGGGAUAACGGAAGAGGGCAUCGGCUCGACUUCGUCGGUUCCUCGAGCUGAGGC
rnacentral:rRNA from 1 species